CGGAAGUGCGUCAGUAGCGCGGGCCUGUUUGGAUGUGGAAGCAGAGACCUGAAACGGGGCCUCAGCCCUGAGAGAUGGAUCGGUACCUACUCCUAGUGAUCUGGGAGGAAGAAAAAGUCCCGUCGGCGGCGGGUGCGGUGGCGGAGCAUGGGCCAGGGGCUUCGUCCUCCGAGGGUACCGAGAAACAGCCAGACUUAAGAGCAGCAAAUGUUUAUCACCUCCUGAAAAGAAGCAUUAAUGCUUCAAUUAAUCCAGAAGAUAGUACCUUCCCUGGCUGUUUGGUAGGCGGUAUACCAGGUUCCAGGAAGUGGUUCUUUGCAGUGCAGGCAAUAUGUGGAUUUUAUCAGUUUUGUAGUUCUGACUGGGAAGAGAUACAUUUUGGUGUGGAAAAAGAUGAAAUUGAAGAUGUUCUUCAAAGAAAUAUCGAAGAAUGUUUGAGUGCUGUUGAGUGUUUUGAGGAAGAAGAUAGCAAUAGCAGGGAAUCAUUAUCCUUGGCUGACCUAUAUGAAGAAUCUGCAGAAAAUUUGCAUCAGUUAUCAGACAAACUUCCUGCUCCUGGUAGAGCAAUGAUAGAUGUAAUACUGUUGCCUUCUGACAAAGAUCCACCUAAAUUGAGAGACUGUUUGCCUACUGUAGGAGCAUUAAAACAUUUGAAGGAAUGGUAUUCAGCAAAAAUUACCAUAGCAGGAAAUCAUUGUGAAACAAAUUGUCAGAAAAUUGCCGAAUACCUUUCUGCUAAUAUUGUGUCUUUACAAGAUCUCAGAAAUGCUAUUGAUUCAAAGGAGUUAUGGAGGGGAAAGAUUCAGAUAUGGGAAAGGAAGUUUGGAUGUGAAAUUAGUUUUCCUGAAUUUUGUUUAAAGGGAGUCACACCUAAGAAUUUUAGUACAUCUAAUUUAAAAACUUGCUUUCUUGACAAAAAGAUAAUACCAUCAAAGGAUAAGAGUAUUUUGCCAAAGGUUUUUCAUUAUUAUGGCCCUGCUUUAGAAUUUGUGCAGAUGAUAAAAUUAUCAGACCUACCUUCCUGCUAUAUGUCAGACAUUGAAUUUGAGUUAGGACUGACAGAAAACAAUACCAAACAGAAUUCCAAGCUGCUGUUGGAGCAGGUUUCUUCCCUGUGUGGCAAGGUUGGUGCUCUUUUUGUAUUGCCAUGUACCAUUAGUAGCAUACUUACUCCUCCUCCCAGCCAGCUCAGUUCAAGAAAAUGGAAGGAAUAUAUAGCUAGAAAGCCUAAGACAAUCAGUGUUCCAGAUGUUGAAGUGAAAGGAGAGAGUUCUAGCUAUUAUCUCUUGUUACAAGGUAAUGGCAACAGAAAGUGUAAAGCCACAUUGAUUCACUCAGCCAACCAAAUCAAUGGCUCAUUUGCACUCAGUUUAAUUCAUGGAAAGAUGAAAGCAAAGACAGAAGAGACCAAACUGAGCUUUCCUCUUGACCUUUUGUCACUUCCAAAUUUCUCUGGGGAGCAGCUUAUACAGAGAGAGAAACAGUUAGCUAAUGUUCAGGCUUUGGCUUUGAAAGAAUGUCUGAAAAGGAGAAAGUUAGCAAAGCAGCCAGAAGUACUUUCUGUGGAUGAACUCAAAAGUCUAUUAAUACUCACAAGGGAAUGCUUUUUCAAUCAUUUUGAUGCUAUUAUCCCUAAAACAAGUCUAAUAAAGACAGACAACACCUCCAAUAGGUUAAAUGUACUUACAUAUUUCUCUUCAGAUUCUAAUCCAGUGGAACGUAUUUCUUCAAGUCUAGUGGAAACCAAUCCUCUGGAGUGGCCAGAAAGGCAUGUUCUUCAAAACUUGGAAACUUUUGAAAAAGCUAAACAAAAAAUGAGAACUGGUUCAUUACCUCGUUCAUCUGAACAGUUACUGGGCCACAAAGAGAGUCCACGGGAUUCAGUCACAUUAUUGGAUGCUAAAGAAUUGCUGAAAUUCUUUACCUCAGAUGGAUUACCAAUAGGAGAUCUUCAACCUUUACAGAUUCAGAAAGGGGAAAAGACUUUUGUCCUGACGCCAGAACUUAGUCCUCGGAAACUUCAGGGUUUACCUUUUGAAAAAGCUUCAGUAUGUCAUUAUCAUGGAAUUGAAUAUUGCUUGGAUGACCGAAAAGCAUUAGAAAGAGAUGGGGGAUUUUCAGAACUUCAGUCUCGUCUUAUUCGUUAUGAAACUCAAACUACAUGCACCAGAGAAAGUUUUCCAGUACCUACCGUACUGAGCCCUCUUCCGUCUCCAGCAGUUUUGUCAGAGCCCGGAAGUGUCCCUGAUGGAGAAGCUUUACAAAGUGAACUCCGGACUGAAGUCUCCCGAGGAAAAAGGAGAUCAAAAGAUCUGAACUGCCUUUAUCCCCCCAAAAGACUUGUGAAAUCUGAAAGUUCAGAUUCUCUUCUUUCUCAGAGAAGUGGCAUUACUAAUCAUCAUCAUCAUGCAGUGACAUCCAGGAAGCCACGGGCAGAGAGAUCAUUACCUGUGACUUGUCCAUCUCUUCCAGUUCUUAGCAAUGAAACUCCCAAAGUCACUACAAAUGCCAGUUCAGGUCAAAAAAGUGUGCCUGAAUCAAAAACAUCAAGGCCCAGUAAGGAAUCAAGAUCACAGAAACACACACGGAUAUUGAAAGAAGUAGUUACUGAAACCCUGAAGAAACACAGGAUUACUGAGGCUCACGAAUGUUUCACGGCUUGCAGCCAACGUCUCUUUGAGAUCUCGAAGUUCUAUCUAAAGGAUCUUAAAACUUCAAGGGGUCUAUUUGAAGAAAUGAAGAAAACAGCAAGCAACAAUGUUGUACAGGGAUAAACAAGACUCACAGUCUGAUGGAUGCUGUCACAUCAUGAUCAUCCAAUGUCUUGGGAUGCAUAAAAAGCUGAAGGAUGAGAACAACUAAAAUUAUAACAUGUUUGCAAACUUCCUGAGCACACUGCUAUGAACUGCGCCAUCAAUGUACAGAGGCACCAUGGAAUUUUGUCAGUGGAAAAAGUGACUGCCUGUAACUUCUCUGCAUGGAGGCUGACACCAAAAACAUAUUGUGAGCAUUUCUAGGGCCUCUGCCUUGAAAUACAAUCAAAUUUUCAUCUCCCAGAAAAAUAUAAAUUAGAUGUGCCUGGGCCCCCCCAAAAAACCUCAAAACAAAUCAGCAAAUCAACUAUGAACUGUCUGAGCUGAGGGAUAACUUGAUUUUAGAAGAAAACUGUUUCCUACUGGCUACAGUCCCAGCCAGUUCUUUCUGUGCAAAAGAAAAGACUGUCUCUGACCUGAACAAUGCUUUCCAGAACUGCUAAGAUGAAGGGAAGAGGACUGACAGCUGCCCAGUCCUGCUAUGUGCCAGGCAUCAUGCUAAAUAAGGCUGUAGUUAAGUCAGUGCAAUGGAUUGAAUUCUGCUCCACCCCUACCCUAUCAAUUCAUACAGAUGAAGCCCUAAUCCUCAAUGUGACUAUAUUUAGAGAUAGAACCAAGGUCAUUAAGGUUAAAUGAGAUCUUAAUGAUGGGGCCAUGCUCUGAUGGGAUUAGUGUCCUUGUAAGAAGAGGCCCUGGAGAGCUCAAGUUUUCUCUCUCUCUCCUCAUGCAUGCAAAGAAGUCAUGUGAGCCUGUAGCAAGGUGGUAGCCAUCUACAAAAUCAAGAAGAG